UGCCCUCGCCCUUAUCCACCACACCCUUGUGCAUCGCCGCGUGGUGCCCCUUUCGGCUCGCCCGGAAGGGGCACACGUCCUUUUCACACAAACGCCCCUUUAAAACGGUUUAGAAUGUCUUUGCGGUGACACGCAAUCAAUACAACUUUCAACAAUGGAUCUCUUGGCUCUCGCAUCGAUGAAGAACGCAGCGAAAUGUGAUACGUAAUGUGAAUUGCAGAAUUCAGUGAAUCAUCGAAUCUUUGAACGCACCUUGCGCCCCUUGGCAUUCCGAGGGGCACGCCCGUUUGAGUGUCGUGACAUCAUCAAACCUUCUCGGUCCUCUGGGAUCGGGAAGGCUUUGGACUUUGGAGGCAUUUUGCUGGCUUCCCGUGAAGCCAGCUCCUCUUAAAUGGAUUAGUGGGGUCCCCAUUGUGGCUCCCUUGACGUGAUAAGAUGCUUCUACGUCUCGGGACAGGCUCUGUAACCCGCUUCGAACCGUC
rnacentral:rRNA from 1 species